GACGAAAGUCUGACCGAGCAACGCCGCGUGAGUGAAGAAGGUUUUCGGAUCGUAAAGCUCUGUUGUAAGUCAAGAACGUGUGUGAGAGUGGAAAGUUCACACAGUGACGGUAGCUUACCAGAAAGGGACGGCUAACUACGUGCCAGCAGCCGCGGUAAUACGUAGGUCCCGAGCGUUGUCCGGAUUUAUUGGGCGUAAAGGGAGCGCAGGCGGUCAGGAAAGUCUGGAGUAAAAGGCUAUGGCUCAACCAUAGUGUGCUCUGGAAACUGUCUGACUUGAGUGCAGAAGGGGAGAGUGGAAUUCCAUGUGUAGCGGUGAAAUGCGUAGAUAUAUGGAGGAACACCAGUGGCGAAAGCGGCUCUCUGGUCUGUCACUGACGCUGAGGCUCGAAAGCGUGGGUAGCGAACAGGAUUAGAUACCCUGGUAGUCCACGCCGUAAACGAUGAGUGCUAGGUGUUAGGCCCUUUCCGGGGCUUAGUGCCGGAGCUAACGCAAUAAGCACUCCGCCUGGGGAGUACGACCGCAAGGUUGAAACUCAAAGGAAUUGACGGGGGCCCGCACAAGCGGUGGAGCAUGUGGUUUAAUUCGAAGCAACGCGAAGAACCU
rnacentral:rRNA from 1 species